rnacentral:rRNA from 1 species
GGGUGCGAUCAUACCAGCGUUAAUGCACCGGAUCCCCUCAGAACUCCGCAGUUAAGCGCAUUUGGGCUAGAGUAGUACUGGGAUGGGUGACC